AAUUCAAAGUUGGUUUUACUCUUACAGCUAAACAUUGAGUUUGUCUAUAUUCGCGUGGACAUAGCAAUUAUUGUUUUGGUGACUUCAGAACAUCAUCAGAUCUUAAAAUGAAGGUUAGCGCACUCCUCGUUGUGAUGCUCGUAUUUGCAUUGGUGAUUACCACACCAGAAGUUGUCAGCGCUAAACCUGCAGAGGAAAAUUCAAAGCAAAAUCAGGACGCCAAACAAGGUUCGCCAGAUGGUAAACCCCAAAAAAAUGAAGCCAAUCAUCAGCGGUUAAGUAUGGAUUGGUGAAUAAAGCAUAGUUUCCACCCGCUGAAAAGACAGGACACAAUGACCUAAGGAAAGUUAUACGGACAUUACGAAUUUCAUGUAGAAAGAGCUCUUUCAUAUAUAUAAAACGAAUUUCAA
rnacentral:lncRNA from 1 species